GCUGAUCCGUGGAGAUGGCCUUACCGGGAGGUGUAAAUGUCCAACAGGGAGGGGAGAGGGGGGCCGAUGAUCUUCUGUGCUGCCUUAACAACCCUCUGCAUUCUGUCCCUGUCAG